ACCCAGCAAACCAUGUUGUUAUAUGCGCCUUCCCGUUACAUAACAUCCCUAAGAAAUGAGGUAUAUACCUGAUACAUCUCAAAACUAAUGUAUCUGAUACAUAACAUUUCAUAUAUCCAUGAAAUUAUUUGACUUAUUCAUAUAUCAUAUAUGUAACAUUGUUAUAUUACUGAAGUUACGUAUAUGAUACAUCUUCCAGCAUCCCUAAAAACAAUAUUACUCUGAUAUCUACUAGUGUGUAAUAUAGUUACAUAUCAUAUAUGUAACAUUCGCAAUAUAUAUUUUACAUUGCUAAUAUUAUGUAAAAGCUAUGUAAAUAUAGCAUAUUCAUGAUAUAUUACUCAGAUCUAUACAAGUACUCUUAUAAUACAUAACCUUUAUUAAAGUUGAACUGUUUAGAGAUUUUUGCCAGGACUAGUGCAGUGAAAAGUGAUAUGCAUUUUCUAACUUUUGAUUGUUAGUUAGAAGUGAUGAACUAUAAUAAUAAUAAUAUUCAAUAUUCUUUGAUUUUUCAUCAAUUCCGGAUUACUUUCAUCGUGGAAAUAUGUGAGAUAAGAAGUGAAAAACUGUAAUAAUAAUAUUCAACAUUCGAUGAUUUUUCACCAAUUCCAGAUUAGUUUCAUAGUGAAAAUAUGUGAGGUAAGUGAAUAUAAGUAUACUUCGACAACGUAACUACAUUUAGAUAUAUAAAUGCUGUUUUAUGUGCCUUUCAUUUUGCUUUUGUACUUGCAUGCCUGUUAAUAACAUAGGUAUAUUUGCUGCAUGUUUUUGUGGAUCGUUAAUGGAAUGUGUGCAUGGUUUCUGUCUUCUUCAUUCAAAUUAUAUGCAUUUUGAUAUUUUUCCUUUUUAUGGUAAUUUGCAUUUGGGUGUAUAUAGUUCUGAAGUAAUACCACAAUUGUUUUAUCAUCUAAAUAAGAAGUAUCUGAAUAGUGCGCUAGUUUUUACUACUUAGACUAUUUUUCUGCUAUAUUUUAUUUAUGUUUGUGAUGUAUAUACCUAUGUUAUUCUCUGCUAUUCGUGAAAUUAAAACAUCUAGAUUUCAUAUAUGCACAAUACACUUUUCUUCCAUCAUUAUUAAUGACCAAUGUCAGAUCACAUAAGGAUGCUUUUUGAGAAAUAGAUUCUGAUAAGUUUAAUCAAAUGUUUUAGUAUGAUAUAAAUAAUUUUGCUGUUUCAGGGUGAGGAAUCACCUCCUGAAGUUUACUCAUGUAUUCAAAACUUUCAUAACUUUAUAUUAUGUUUUGCAUCUCAAUCUUUUAUCCAAUGUGCAGACUUUGAGAAGAUAGAUAUCAGCCGAGUGGAUAAGGCUGGCCACAUUGAGGAUCAAGAGACAAAAAUAAGUUUUGGUUGAUGUAGGUACUUUGAUUACAUUAAAAAUUUUCAAUAAU